GGCCUGUUGUGGAGGUAUUGUCUGGAGAGUUGAAGGCCUGUUGUGGAGGUAUUGUCUGGAGAGUUGAAGGCCUGUUGUGGAGGUAUUGUAUGGAGAGUUGAAGGCCUGUUGUGGAGGUAUUGUCUGGAGAGUUGAAGGCCUGUUGUGGAGGUAUUGUCUGGAGAGUUGAAGGCCUGUUGUGGAGGUAUUGUAUGGAGAGUUGAAGGCCUGUUGGGGAGGUAUUGUCUGGAGAGUUGAAGGCCUGUUGGGGAGGUAUUGUCUGGAGAGUUGAAGCUCUGUUGUGGAGGUAUUGUCUGGAUAGUUGAAGGCCUGUUGGGGAGGUAUUGUCUGGAGAGUUGAAGCUCUGUUGUGGAGGUA